GACGAACGCUGGCGGCGUGCCUAAUACAUGCAAGUCGAGCGGACGGAUGGGAGCUUGCUCCCAGACCGUCAGCGGCGGACGGGUGAGUAACACGUGGGCAACCUGCCUGUAAGACUGGGAUAACUCCGGGAAACCGGGGCUAAUACCGGAUAACUCUUUCCCUCACCUGAGGGAAAGCUGAAAGAUGGCAUCUCGCUAUCACUUACAGAUGGGCCCGCGGCGCAUUAGCUAGUUGGUGAGGUAACGGCUCACCAAGGCGACGAUGCGUAGCCGACCUGAGAGGGUGAUCGGCCACACUGGGACUGAGAAACGGCCCAGACUCCUACGGGAGGCAGCAGUAGGGAAUCUUCCGCAAUGGACGAAAGUCUGACGGAGCAACGCCGCGUGAGUGAUGAAGGUUUUCGGAUCGUAAAACUCUGUUGUAAGGGAAGAACAAGUACCGGAGUAACUGCCGGUACCUUGACGGUACCUGACCAGAAAGCCACGGCUAACUACGUG
rnacentral:rRNA from 1 species